UUGUCACGGAAGUCGACACAAACAGUGCAGCUGAAGAAGCAGGGCUGCAGGUAGGGGACAUUUUGAUAGCGGUCAAUGGAACCGAUGUCACCAGCAUGCCACAUUCAGAAGCUGCAAAUCUGGCAAGGAAAGGCCCCGAUGUCCUGACCAUGGUGGUGGGAUCAGAUAUCAGC